AGAGUUUGAUCCUGGCUCAGGUUGAACGCUGGUGGUAUGCUUUACACAUGCAAGUCGUACGUAAAAUGGUAUUUUUGGUGGCGCACGGGUGAGUAACACGUAAGAACUUUCCCUUAAGAGGAGAAUAACAAUUGGAAACGAUUGCUAAUACUCCAUAAUUUGCUGAGAAGUAAAAAGAAUAAUCUACUUAAGGGUAGGCU
rnacentral:rRNA from 1 species